rnacentral:rRNA from 1 species
UACGUAGGGUGCAAGCGUUAAUCGGAAUUACUGGGCGUAAAGCGUGCGCAGGCGGUUUUGUAAGUCUGUCGUGAAAUCCCCGGGCUCAACCUGGGAAUUGCGAUGGAGACUGCAAGGCUAGAAUCUGGCAGAGGGGGGUAGAAUUCCACGUGUAGCAGUGAAAUGCGUAGAGAUGUGGAGGAACACCGAUGGCGAAGGCAGCCCCCUGGGUCAAGAUUGACGCUCAUGCACGAAAGUGUGGGGAGCAAACAGG